UGCACUUUUUGGUAAGAAGAUGUUAACAAAAGUUGUUCGUCAUGAUGAGAGCUACAACUUUGCUUAAUAUCGUUUUAACAAAUUAUGCGUAUUUAAGGAGAUAGCGCUGCGCAUGCGCAGAACGUAUCUCCUUACCUUUGCACUUUUUGGUAAGAAGAUGUUAACGAAAGUUGUUCGUCUUGAUGAGGGCUACAACUUUGUUUAAUAUCCUUUUAACAAAUUAUGCG
rnacentral:miRNA from 1 species